AGUGAACGCUGGCGGUAGGCCUAAUACAUGCAAGUCGAACGGCAGCACAGUAAGAUCGUGCUCUUACGGGUGGCGGGGGGCGGGCGGGUGAGGAGUGGAUCGGAUACUACUUUUUCGGGGAUGAUAACGUAGGGAAGGUGAUGCUAAUACCGCAUACGACGUACGGCUGAAAUCAGUGGAUAAUCGGGCCUUUGGCGUCAGAAUGAGCCGAUGUCGGAUGGGCUAGUUGGCGUGGUAAGGGCCCACCAAGCCGACGAUCCGUAGCGGGGCUGAGAGGAUGAUCAGCCACACUGGAACUGAGACACGGUCCAGACUCCUACGGGAGGCAGCAGUGGGGAAUAUUGGACAAUGGGCGCAAGCCUGAUCCAGCCAUACCGCGUGGGUGAAGAAGGCCUUCGGGUUGUAAAGCCCUUUUGUUGGGAAAGAAAAGCAGCAGGUUAAUACCCCGCUGUUCUGACGGUACCCAAAGAAUAAGCACCGGCUAACUUCGUG
rnacentral:rRNA from 1 species